rnacentral:rRNA from 1 species
CAUGCAAGUCGAGCGAAUCUGAGGGAGCUUGCUCCCAAAGAUUAGCGGCGGACGGGUGAGUAACACGUGGGUAACCUGCCUGUAAGAUUGGGAUAACUCCGGGAAACCGGAGCUAAUACCGGAUAACAUAUUGAACCGCAUGGUUCGAUAUUGAAAGAUGGUUUCGGCUAUCACUUACAGAUGGACCCGCGGCGCAUUAGCUAGUUGGUGAGGUAACGGCUCACCAAGGCGACGAUGCGUAGCCGACCUGAGAGGGUGAUCGGCCACACUGGGACUGAGACACGGCCCAGACUCCUACGGGAGGCAGCAGUAGGGAAUCUUCCGCAAUGGACGAAAGUCUGACGGAGCAACGCCGCGUGAGCGAAGAAGGCCUUCGGGUCGUAAAGCUCUGUUGUUAGGGAAGAACAAGUAUGAGAGUAACUGCUCGUACCUUGACGGUACCUAACCAGAAAGCCACGGCUAACUACGUGCCAGCAGCCGCGGUAAUACGUAGGUGGCAAGCGUUGUCCGGAAUUAUUGGGCGUAAAGCGCGCGCAGGCGGUUUCUUAAGUCUGAUGUGAAAGCCCACGGCUCAACCGUGGAGGGUCAUUGGAAACUGGGGAACUUGAGUGCAGAAGAGGAGAGUGGAAUUCCACGUGUAGCGGUGAAAUGCGUAGAGAUGUGGAGGAACACCAGUGGCGANGCGACUCUCUGGUCUGUAACUGACGCUGA